rnacentral:rRNA from 1 species
CCUACGGGAGGCUGCAGUAGGGAAUUUUCCACAAUGGACGAAAGUCUGAUGGAGCAACGCCGCGUGAGUGAAGAAGGGUUUCGGCUCGUAAAGCUCUGUUGGUAGUGAAGAAAGAUAGAGGUAGUAACUGGCCUUUAUUUGACGGUAAUUACUUAGAAAGUCCCGGCUAACUACGUGCCAGCAGCCGCGGUAAUACGUAGGUGGUAAGCGUUGUCCGGAUUUAUUGGGCGUAAAGCGAGUGCAGGCGGUUCAAUAAGUCUGAUGUGAAAGCCUUCGGCUCAACCGGAGAAUUGCAUCAGAAACUGUUGAACUGGAGUGCAGAAGAGGAGAGUGGAACUCCAUGUGUAGCGGUGGAAUGCGUAGAUAUAUGGAAGAACACCAGUGGCGAAGGCGGCUCUCUGGUCUGCAACUGACGCUGAGGCUCGAAAGCAUGGGUAGCGAACAGGAUUAGAUACCCUUGUAGUC